UACGGAGGAUGCAAGCGUUAUCCGGAUUUAUUGGGUUUAAAGGGUGCGUAGGCGGAUUAAUAAGUCAGCGGUGAAACUCACAGGCUCAACCUGUGCCGUGCCGUUGAAACUGUUUAUCUUGAAUGCGGAUGCUGUGGGAGGAAUGUGUAGUGUAGCGGUGAAAUGCAUAGAUAUUACACAGAACACCGAUUGCGAAGGCAUCUCACAAAGCCGUGAUUGACGCUGAGGCACGAAAGUGUGGGGAUCAAACAGGAUUAGAUACC
rnacentral:rRNA from 1 species